AAUGUCGAUGAUGAUAUUGACGCCACCGACGGUAUUACCGCAGCUGAUGAUAGAGCAAAACCGGGAAAGAUCUGCUUCGCUUCAAGCCGCCGGCGCACAGCCGAACACUUUGAUGAGGGAGGAGAAGAAGAAGAAGAAUGAUGAAGGAGAAGUGAAGGAAGGAGUAGCGCUUCAAAAGCUUUGUCGCCAUGCGGGGUAUAUCUUUGGUCAUUUCAUUCAGAUGUCUAGCUCCAUCAAAUCUCUCAUUUGGCUCUCGACAUCGGAGGGACUCUGGUCAAGCUUGUGUAUUUCUCUUCAAAUGGAAGCGAAGAAGAGUCUCGUAAUGGUUGCUCUGUUGUCAAAGGAGGGCUUUGUUUCGCUAAGUUUGAGACCAGAAAGAUUGAUGAUUGUUUAGAGUUUAUUCGAUUCAAUAUUCUUCAACACUCUGGUGUUCAGCAUCAGAAUGGUGCAGUCCAUGAUUAUCUAUCUGUUAAGGUAACAAAGCUGAUGAUCGUUAUGUUGCAGUGGGGAUUUCAGUUUGUUGUAGUUGAUUUAUGUAUGUUCUUUACUAAUUUGUAUGCUAUUUGAUCAUUCCAAAAGGCCACAGGUGGUGGGAAGUAUCCAUAUCUACUUGUUAAUAUAGACUUUGCAUUUGAUUGCUCAAAGUGUCUGUUAAAGUUUUGAUCA